GUUGAACCUAGAAGAGCACUGCAUAUUGAAGCACAUAUCAUAUUAUGUAAAGGAGAAUGAGAAAAAGACUGUAGAAACAAGUGGAUCAAGUAGGAAGCUAAGGACGACGAAGCAACUCCCGGCAGGAGCGAUUCUCAUAGACUGCAUUUUAAGUUGUUAAUGGAUGAAAUAGAGAGGGGGGAGUGAGUGAAGUAGGGAGUGCUCGCCUUUAAGGGAUGGAUCACACUCACACGACAUAUUAAUCUCUGAAACCGAGUUUUCCUAGAAGUUUGUACCGUGUACGUACAAGUUACAACAAUACUCGGGGCGUGCACCUUAUUAAUUCAACGCCAGCCCGGACCUUAGGUUCCAACAACUCGGAACAUCACGUCAGAGUCAACAACGGAGAAUCUUCCUCCCCUAGUACGUACAUACUUUUUUACUUAGAGAGAACACGCUAUUGCAGAGUAUGAAAUAUUACUAUGUAAUUCUAUUAACAACGAGGAGUGAGGAUUAACAUUUAUCAAUUAUUAAAUAGAGCUCAUCCAUUUUUAAGUACUUUUUUAUUAUUUAUUAAAGAGUUUCCAAGGAUUUGGUCGUAAUUACUAAUUAGUUGUUACUCUAUGACUUGGUGAAAACACAAGUACGUAAUAUAAUAUGAUUUUUCAGAAUAGGCCCUUCUUAAGCGUGUGCGCUAAAAAAACAGGUUCUCAAGGGAAGCCACGUGUAUGUCACCUAUAUUAUCAUCACAUCAUUGGCGACAAUUUAAAAUAAUACGAGUUGAAUUUCUUUAUUAGAUGGGACAUAUUAUAUAAAUCCAUGAAAUAGAUAUUAUAUUUGUUGUCCCAACUAGAGGGGUCAUUAACGAAUAAAAUGGAGGGUAUCCUUUGCUUCUUCCUUUUAAUUGACACGCGCUUGGGGGAGGAUUUAUGCACUGCAAUCCUAUGAAGGAAGCCAAUCAAAUGGCUUCUAUUUCUUUUCUUUUUGUCAUCUCUUUUUAACUUGAUAAGAGACUAAUGAUAAAAAUAUUGUUAAAAGAAGGAGAAUGGACACUCAAGGUUCUAAAUUGAAAGUUUACGGAUCUUGAGCCUCAAAACAAGCUAUCCUUUUCUCUCUCUACUCCUUGAUCCUACAUUCAAAGUUUCAAAUCCAAACUGUUUCUCUCUCCUCUUUUUUUGUGUUCUGUAUUAAUAAAUAAUUAAUGACUAUGAUAUCAACGUCAUAUCAUAAAAAAUUAAUUGCAGAGGUCUAACUUACAAGUCACUUACCUGUAGUAUGCACUUAAUUCUCUCACCGGGCGCAGUCACAAUGGUCGUAAUGACUCCUGAGAUCCCUCCAGCAAUGAAUAACUGAGGAAUAUUAAGCUCUUCUGAUGGAUCAUUUUGAAGGAGUUUCUUUCCAAGACCAAAUCCCAUGAAACUUAGAGCAAAGAGUGGAGCGGAUCCCACUAUGGGAGCACCCAUACCUGAUUUAUUUAGAAACUCAUUAAUUAUAAAUAUGUGUUAAUUAAAAUUAAUAGAUUUAUGGAAAUGUGUACGUUUUUAGAUACAUAUUCUUAAAGAUGACACCAGGGUGUGGAUUGAAUUUCAAUGUUGAUUAUACUAUUAACUGUACGGGUUGUUUUUUCUUCUUCUUAAAAAUAACAAUAUUUUCACAAAUAAUAUUAAUUAUACUCAUUAUUUUUCAGAACUAACCAUGUUUAACCCCAGAUGUGGAAUAACCCAUGAGCUUUUUCUAUUUACCCCCAGCACUAUGUAUAAACACACUAAAUAAUCUAUAUGUAACAUUGAGUUGAGGCUUUUUUCAUUGUGAAUGUUUUUUUAUUAUUGUGGGACAUAACUCAUAAUUUUUUUUUGUUUUCUGACUUUAAAGACAUAAAAAUCCCCCAAGGAACAAAAAUAAUGUCUCUCCUUUAAUUUUCUUCAAAUAUGUACCUUAGGAAAUGAAGAAGACAAUUUGCUCUCUAACCUAAAAUAGCCAAAGUUUACCAGAGGCGUACGCAGGAUUAUUUAUCUAUAUAUUUGAGGGGGGGGGGGCUACAUCCCCUCCAGCCCACCCCCUGUAGACCUGUUGAUUCCCUGUUUCAUUUCCCAGUAAAAAUAAACCACACAAAAGCCGUAGGCAAAAGAACAAAAUCAGCUCUACAUUUAUCCAAGAUUUUGAGAUAUCUUAGAACUUGAUUCAUUUUAUAUAUAUAUGCCAAAGGUGUUUCUUUAAUAAAUGAUCUUAUAAUUUUCUACAAAUCAUGAAAACUUUAUCCUUUAAAAAUGAUGUGUCACACCUUAAUCUACGACCGUGUUUCUCAAACUACGUGCUACAAAGUGUAUCUUACUUUGAUUUAUAUGUUAAUAACACUGCAAAAUUGUUCAUUAAGAUUUAGAAGCACUGUUUCAUAUGUAUCAUGGGGAGUAAAGAGAUUAUUAACGUGGAAAAUGAGAUGGGUAAACUUCGUCUCGUGUUCGUCAUAUUUAGUCUUUUUUAAUAUUGCCAAGAAAUUAAAUUUGUUCUUAUCAAAUGAACCAUUCAAAAAUGUUUUUGUUUCGUUUCGUAAUCGUCAAAGAAAAAGCACGAGUUGGUGAGUUCAUUUUGUCUUGUCUUGAAAUUAACCCUGAUGUGGAGGUCCAUGGUGCCCCAAUACUUUUCAACUAAAAAAAAUAGUUGUACCACCAUUGCCAAAAAUAGAUAGUAUCUUUUCUAUAGAUGUACUUCCCCCAUCUAGGAAAAGGUUAUCAAGCCCCUUAAGGAUAGGAAUUUUCAAAAUUGGUCAAGUACUUUAAAAUUUUUGAUCUUGUUACUUUUAUUUAAUAAAAAUGUGGAAUAUUUUAUGGAUGACUAAAUAACAACAAAUACUCAUAAAUCCUCAUUCUUAUUAAUCAUGUACGAGUUUGUUUAUUUGUUAC
rnacentral:lncRNA from 1 species